rnacentral:rRNA from 1 species
GACGAACGCUGGCGGCGUGCCUAAUACAUGCAAGUUGAGCGAUGAAGAUUGGUGCUUGCACCAAUUUGAAGAGCAGCGAACGGGUGAGUAACGCGUGGGGAAUCUGCCUUUGAGCGGGGGACAACAUUUGGAAACGAAUGCUAAUACCGCAUAACAACUUUAAACAUAAGUUUUAAGUUUGAAAGAUGCAAUUGCAUCACUCAAAGAUGAUCCCGCGUUGUAUUAGCUAGUUGGUGAGGUAAAGGCUCACCAAGGCGAUGAUACAUAGCCGACCUGAGAGGGUGAUCGGCCAAAUUGGGACUGAGACACGGCCCAAACUCCUAAGGGAGGCAGCAGUAGGGAAUCUUCGGAAAUGGACGAAAGUCUGAACGAGCAACGCCGCGUGAGUGAAGAAGGUUUUCGGAUCGUAAAACUCUGUUGGUAGAGAAGAAAGUUGGUGAGAGUGGAAAGCUCAUCAAGUGACGGUAACUACACAGAAAGGGACGGCUAACUACGUG